rnacentral:rRNA from 1 species
GACGAACGCUGGCGGCGUGCUUAACACAUGCAAGUCGAACGGAAAGGCCCUGCUUUUGUGGGGUGCUCGAGUGGCGAACGGGUGAGUAACACGUGAGUAACCUGCCCUUGACUUGGGAUAACUUCAGGAAACUUGGGCUAAUACCGGAUAGGAGCUCCUGCUGCCUGGUGGGGGUUGGAAAGUUUCGGCGGUUGGGGAUGGACUCGCGGCUUAUCAGCUUGUUGGUGGGGUAGUGGCUUACCAAGGCUUUGACGGGUAGCCGGCCUGAGAGGGUGACCGGCCACAUUGGGACUGAGAUACGGCCCAGACUCCUACGGGAGGCAGCAGUGGGGAAUAUUGCACAAUGGGCGGAAGCCUGAUGCAGCAACGCCGCGUGCGGGAUGACGGCCUUCGGGUUGUAAACCGCUUUCGCCUGUGACGAAGCGUGAGUGACGGUACUGGGUAAAGAAGCACCGGCUAACUACGUG